rnacentral:rRNA from 1 species
UACAGAGGGUGCAAGCGUUAAUCGGAAUUACUGGGCGUAAAGCGCGCGUAGUCGGUUAUUUAAGUCGGAUGUGAAAUCCCCGGGCUCAACCUGGGAAUUGCAUUCGAUACUGGAUAGCUAGAGUUCGGCAGAGGGAAGCGGAAUUUCGGGUGUAGCGGUGAAAUGCGUAGAUAUCCGAAGGAACAUCAGUGGCGAAAGCGGCUUCCUGGACCAGAACUGACGAUCAGGCUCGAAAGCGUGGGGAGCAAACAGG